rnacentral:rRNA from 1 species
GAAAGGUGCAAGCGUUGUUCGGAAUGACUGGGCGUAAAGCGCGCGUAGGCGGGAUAAUAGGUCGAUUGUGAAAUCCCCGGGCUCAACCCGGGAACUGCAGUCGAAACCGUUAUUCUUGAAUAUCUGAGAGGGUGGGGGAAUACCUAGUGGAGCAGUGAAAUGCGUAGAGAUUAGGUGGAACACCGGAGGCGAAGGCGCCUGCCUGGCAGAAUAUUGACGCUGAGGCGCGAAAGCGUGGGUAGCAAACAGGAUUAGAUACCCUGGUAGUCCACGCCGUAAACGAUGGAUACUAGUUGUUUGGGGAGUUAACCCCCUGAGUGACGCAGCUAACGCAUUAAGUAUCCCGCCUGGGGAGUACGGUCGCAAGGCUAAAACUCAAAGGAAUUGACGGGGGCCCGCACAAGCGGUGGAGUAUGUGGUUUAAUUCGAAGCAACGCGCAGAACCUUACCUUCCCUUGACAUCCCGGGACAACCUCAGAGAUGAGGCUUUCUCUUCGGAGACUCGGAGACAGAUGCUGCAUGGCUGUCGUCAGCUCGUGUUGUGAAAUGUUCGGUUAAGUCCGGCAACGAGCGCAACCCCUGUCCUUAGUUACCAUCAUUAAGUUGGGGACUCUAGGGAGACUGCCGGUGUUAAACCGGAGGAAGGCGGGGAUGACGUCAAGUCCUCAUGGCUCUUACGGGAAGGGCUACACACGUACUACAAUGGUAGAAACAAAGGGCUGCGAAACCGCGAGGUCAAGCUAAUCCCUAAAACACUAUCUCAGUCCGGAUUGGAGUCUGCAACUCGACUCCAUGAAGUUGGAAUCGCUAGUAAUCGGAGAUCAGCACGCUCCGGUGAAUACGUUCCCGGGCCUU